UACGUAGGGUGCGAGCGUUGUCCGGAAUUAUUGGGCGUAAAGAGCUCGUAGGCGGUGUGUCGCGUCGGCCGUGAAAACCUGGGGCUUAACCCCGAGCCUGCUUCUGAUACGGGCAGACUAGAGGUAUGCAGGGGAGAACGGAAUUCCUGGUGUAGCGGUGAAAUGCGCAGAUAUCAGGAGGAACACCGGUGGCGAAGGCGGUUCUCUGGGCAUUACCUGACGCUGAGGAGCGAAAGUGUGGGGAGCGAACAGG
rnacentral:rRNA from 1 species